rnacentral:lncRNA from 1 species
UCCUUACAUCGUGAGUUGGCUCCUGCCAACGACGCGAGGCUGGGCGGAUAAAAGCGAAGUAGCGUCUGGUAACGUCCUGGGGUGUCUCCGAGAGAUGACGUUUCGAGACGAUGCGCUCGGCCGUCUGCGGAAACCGGAAACCGUGCCUCCCGCUGCACCUUCGCUCUGCCAGGCAGGGCUACCUCCAGGCACUCGGUAGCGUAGUCUGCAGGCCGAGCAGCAUUUGCACUCGUGACAAGCUGCUUGUGCCACUCAACCUUCCGCAGCCAGACAUUUGUUUCUACCCAUCAGACUAAUUGCUCUGACGUAUAGACGCCUCCAAAGUGGCGUCGUGCCAUCCAAUGGAAAAACAAGUUGUCUUUCUGACCUACCCAGGACCCAGGAAGCUGAAUUCACAGGGUAACAGUAGUCCCAGUGUGGCGGAUGCCGGGCUGGAAACCCACCAUGAAGAAGGUCCAUGCUGGAAUGAGCAAGGCCACAGCAGCAGCACUGGUGUAGAACUGCAGUUCCGGGGCCCUGCAGCGACAGAAGAUACUUGUUCUUUCCCAUGCUUGAGUCUGGGCUUCUACACAGAUCCUUUCAGAGAAAACCUAAAGAAUCAACAAUCUAGAACUAUGUCUCCCACAAUGGCAGUGAUGCCCUUGGCUCCCUAGAAUGAAAGGGUCACCAUGAACUGAGCAUCUGCACAGCACCUGUGGAGGGAAGCAUGAGGCCAAGCUGAGAACGAGUUUCCCACACACGAGCACUGAAUAUCACAUUCAUUCCACAAGCACAUCUGGGGACAGGAUGUAUUUGUUGAGGAACAGUGUACAGAAGCUGAAGAAGAACCACAGUGUGAGGUAGAUGAGAGCCCUUGAACUCCACACACCCAGAUCCGACUCAAUGACAGUGGUCUCUGUGAUGGUGACAGUGAGCAAGCUCUCCUCUGGGCUGCCAUCACCUUUGGUAAAGACAAUCUUCUCACUUCGGUGACCAAAUAGAGACCCCCAAGUGAGAAGUGUUUUUCCCUUGGGCUCUUCCUCGCAGCCAGGCGCUGCCUCCUCCGGCACUUGGGAUUUCGCUGCUGCUGACAUGCUGAGGGCGCUUUCGAGGAGGGAAUCUCAAAGACGGCCCACAUGGAUCAAAGCAACUGCGCAGACAGAGAGACACAGCUGGAGGAAGAGGCAGCAGUCCUGGUCUGCUUGAAUGUUGACUCCAGCAUGCUGGUCUCCAGCAAAGUAAGGAAGCAAAGGCUAAAAUGGUAAGAAAAGAAACCACAUUACUAAUUUUGAACAUUUUAUAUUUUUUUGUAACCUGUGUAAGAUGCAUUUGACACCUGAAUGUAUCUAAGUGCAGACAUAUGUGGAGGCCAGAGAACAACCUGCCUUGUACCUUUGUUUGCCACUAAGUGAGCUAGUUGGUCCGCAAGCUUCCAAGGGUCCUCCUGCCUCUAUUUUCUAUCUUACCUUCCAAAGAUUCUCCUGGUUUUUUGUUUUCAAUAUUGCCAAAGAUGCACUGAGAUAAUUGCCAGGUCCUGGAGCCUACACUGAGCUCAGGAGGUACCAAACUGGGUCAACCCUCUUCUUUUUCUUCUUCCCAGGCUGGUUCAGCCCACAGCGGGCCUUGCCCCCAAUCUCUAAUGACAUUGUCUGCAUCUUCUCAGCCCUUUCAGGAACCAGGAACCAACCAUAGAUAGAAGGAACUGAGUGUUCCUCUCAAACUGCUAUUUUUCAUGCCUGGUUUCUCCAUACCUUCCACAGAAACCCUCUGAACUUUAUCCAAAGCCUCUACCUGUUCCUAACUGGAAUGCUGAUUCACCACAUUGAAUAUUUAAUUUAAGAGAAGUUCUUCUUGAUUCCAUUUCAAACUGGCCUGUUCUCAUUUUGUUCUUUCAUUCCUCCUUCACAUCCUUUAUUGUCUCUGCUGGUUUAUUAUCCAUAGAUCAUAGCGAUUAGGUCCAUUUUUUCUUGGUGUACUACACAGGUGAAUGUAGUAGAGAGCAUCUCAGACUACAUCCCUUCAUCUCUUAUCCUAGCCUGAGAUUUGCCCAGGGCUCAGGACCAAUUUUAUGUUACUUUCUAGGCAAACACUACACUAAUGACAUCAACUUAAAGCUUGGCCCCAGGAUGCUCAGGCCUGUGCUACAAUGUCUGUAGGUGAGAAGUCUACCACUAUAAGCCAAACCUGUUCUCCUGUAGAUACUGGCAUUUUCCUAGUACUGGCUUUGAGCAGGGUCUCAUCUUUGACCUGCUUCAUCUAGUGAGGACCAAGGUCACCUCCUGUCCAAAGAACACAUCAUAGAGUGCUUGCCUACCAUGCACAAACCCUGAGGUUUGCACUCUGUACUGAAGCUAAUACUGGCUUCUGGCUUCUACAGGGACCAGGCAUAUAUGUGGCUCACAUAUACACAUGAGACAAGUACCCACACACAUAAUAAAUAAGACAAAUUUUAAAAAGGGCACUGUAGUGACAAUUCUGGAAUUUUGGUGUUUCUUUAAAAAUACAGAACUAUUCUAUGGAUAUGGCUUUGUUUUAAUCCUAGAUGUGGGGUAAGGGGCUGCUUUGAACUGUCUGUAGCAGCUGACUAUGCAUCGCCUCAUGCUCUAGCAGAGACAUGGUUUUGCCAACUGCAGAUAGUUUCUGAGAUUGUGUGAUAUUUGGAAUUCUGGGAACCUUUCAGAAGGUAGAUAAAUGUUAGGACCAUACUAGGCGGGGUUGGUGGUUAGUGGUUGUUCAAGGGUGAAGUUUGUUAGUAGUCCUGCUCGAAGAAGAAAUAAAUUACAUUUGGAGAGGAGAGCAGACUGACUGAAGGUAGAAUGGCCAGAUUUACUAUCUGGAAGGCAGCAGACAAAAAGAAGGGGCCCACUAUCCUGAGCAGUGAAGUCAGAGAAGCUUGAAGGAACUUUCAGAUUGUGUUUCAGGC